CGUCGAGCUACUACGGUAGUGAAGUCAUUGAUGCCAUGCUUCCAGGAAAAGCCUCUAAGCUUCAGAUUGUAAGGAAUCGUACCCCAAACCGACACAGGUGGUCGGGUAGAGAAUACCAAGGCGCUUGAGAGAACUCGGGUGAAGGAACUAGGCAAAAUGGUACCGUAACUUCGGGAGAAGGUACGCUCUUGAUGGUGAAGUCCCUUGCGGAUGGAGCUGACGAGAGUCGCAGAUACCAGGUGGCUGCAACUGUUUAUUAAAAACACAGCACUGUGCAAAAUCGUAAGAUGACGUAUACGGUGUGACGCCUGCCCGGUGCCGGAAGGUUAAUUGAUGGGGUUAGCGUAAGCGAAGCUCUUGAUCGAAGCCCCGGUAAACGGCGGCCGUAACUAUAACGGUCCUAAGGUAGCGAAAUUCCUUGUCGGGUAAGUUCCGACCUGCACGAAUGGCGUAAUGAUGGCCACGCUGUCUCCACCCGAGACUCAGUGAAAUUGAAAUCGCUGUGAAGAUGCAGUGUACCCGCGGCUAGACGGAAAGACCCCGUGAACCUUUACUACAGCUUGGCACUGAACAUUGAACCUACAUGUGUAGGAUAGGUGGGAGGCUUUGAAGACGUGACGCCAGUUGCGUUGGAGCCGUCCUUGAAAUACCACCCUUGUAUGUUUGAUGUUCUAACGUUGGCCCCUAAUCGGGGUUGCGGACAGUGCCUGGUGGGUAGUUUGACUGGGGCGGUCUCCUCCCAAAGAGUAACGGAGGAGCACGAAGGUGGGCUAAUCACGGUUGGACAUCGUGAGGUUAGUGCAAUGGCAUAAGCCCGCUUAACUGCGAGAAUGACGGUUCGAGCAGGUGCGAAAGCAGGUCAUAGUGAUCCGGUGGUUCUGAAUGGAAGGGCCAUCGCUCAACGGAUAAAAGGUACUCCGGGGAUAACAGGCUGAUACCGCCCAAGAGUUCAUAUCGACGGCGGUGUUUGGCACCUCGAUGUCGGCUCAUCACAUCCUGGGGCUGAAGUCGGUCCCAAGGGUAUGGCUGUUCGCCAUUUAAAGUGGUACGCGAGCUGGGUUUAGAACGUCGUGAGACAGUUCGGUCCCUAUCUGCCGUGGGCGUUGGAAGAUUGAAGGGGGCUGCUCCUAGUACGAGAGGACCGGAGUGGACGAACCUCUGGUGUUCGGGUUGUGUCGCCAGACGCAUUGCCCGGUAGCUAAGUUCGGAAUCGAUAACCGCUGAAAGCAUCUAAGCGGGAAGCGAGCCCUGAGAUGAGUCUUCCCUGAUACUUUAAGUAUCCUGAAGGGUUGUUCGAGA
rnacentral:rRNA from 1 species